GACGAACGCUGGCGGCGUGCUUAACACAUGCAAGUCGAACGGCAAGGCCCUGCUUUCGUGGGGUGCCCGAGUGGCGAACGGGUGAGUAACACGUGUGUAACCUGCCCUUGACUUUGGGAUAACUUCAGGAAACUGGGGCUACUAUCGGAUAGGAGCUCCUGCUGCAUGGUGGGGGUUGGAACGUCUCGGCGGUUGUGGAUGGACUGGCGGCUUAUCAGCUUGUUGGUGGGGUAGUGGCUUACCAAGGCAUUGACGGGUAGCCGGCCUGAGAGGGGGACCGGCGACAUGGGGACUGAGAGACGGCCCAGACUCCAACGGGAGGCAGCAGUGGGGAAUAUUGCACAAUGGGCGGAAGCCUGAUGCAGCAACGCCGCGUGCGGGAUGACGGCCUUCGGGUUGUAAACCGCUUUCGCCUGUGACGAAGCGUGAGUGACGGUAAUGGGUAAAGAAGCACCGGCUAACUACGUG
rnacentral:rRNA from 1 species